rnacentral:rRNA from 1 species
CCUACGGGAGGCAGCAGUGGGGGAUAUUGCACAAUGGGGGAAACCCUGAUGCAGCGACGCCGCGUGGGUGAAGAAGUAUUUCGGUAUGUAAAGCCCUAUCAGCAGGGAAGAAAGAAGACGGUACCUGACUAAGAAGCCCCGGCUAACUACGUGCCAGCAGCCGCGGUAAUACGUAGGGGGCGAGCGUUAUCCGGAUUCACUGGGUGUAAAGGGAGCGUAGACGGCCGUGCAAGCCAGGAGUGAAAGCCCGGGGCCCAACCCCGGGACUGCUCUUGGAACUGUGCGGCUGGAGUGCGGGAGGGGCAGGCAGAAUUCCUGGUGUAGCGGUGAAAUGCGUAGAUAUCAGGAGGAACACCGGCGGCGAAGGCGGCCUGCUGGACCGCGACUGACGUUGAGGCUCGAAAGCGUGGGGAGCGAACAGGAUUAGAUACCCGUGUAGUC